GAUGAAGAACGUAGCGAAAUGCGAUAAGUAAUGUGAAUUGCAGAAUUCAGUGAAUCAUCGAAUCUUUGAACGCACAUUGCGCCCGCUAGUAUUCUGGCGGGCAUCCCUGUUCGAGCGUCAUUUCAACCAUCAAGCUCCUUAGCUUGUGUUGGGGACCUGCGGCUGCCGCAGCCCCCGAAAUGCAGUGGCGGGCUCGUUGUCACACCGAGUGCAGUAAUCAUUCUUCUCUCCGGGCGUGGCGGCGGGUUCCGGCCGUAAAAUCACCAAUUUAUCAAGGUUGACCUCGGAUCAGGUAGGAAUACCCGCUGAACUUAAGCAUAUCAAUAAGCGGAGGA
rnacentral:misc_RNA from 1 species